GACGUAGGGGGCCAGCGUUGUUCGGAAUUACUGGGUGUAAAGGGUUCGUAGGCGGUGCGGCAAGUCGGGAGUGAAAUCUCUGGGCUUAACCCAGAGGCUGCUUCCGAAACUGCUGUGCUUGAGUGUGGGAGAGGCGCGUGGAAUUGCAGGUGUAGCGGUGAAAUGCGUAGAUAUCUGCAGGAACACCCGUGGCGAAAGCGGCGCGCCGGACCACUACUGACGCUGAGUGAACGAAAGCUAGGGGAGCAAACAGG
rnacentral:rRNA from 1 species